rnacentral:rRNA from 1 species
AGCAGCCGCGGUAAUUCCAGCUCCAAUAGCGUAUAUUAAAGUUGUUGCAGUUAAAAAGCUCGUAGUUGAAUUUCGGAACCAAUAUGUCGGUCGUGCCUCGGUACGUACUGGUGUCAUUGGUUUCUCCCUUCUGAGGAUCCUUGAUGUCAUUAAUUUGGUGUCUUGGGGAAUCAGGACUGUUACCUUGAAAAAAUUAGAGUGUUUAAAGCAGGCAUACGCUUGAAUACAUUAGCAUGGAAUAAUGAAAAUAGGACGUUCGAUUCUAUUUUGUUGGUUUCUAGGAUCGACGUAAUGAUUAAUAGGGAUAGUUGGGGGCAUUAGUAUUCAAUUGUCAGAGGUGAAAUUCUUGGAUUUAUUGAAGACUAACUACUGCGAAAGCAUUUGCCAAGGAUGUUUUCAUUAAUCAAGAACGAAAGUUAGGGAUCGAAGACGAUCAGAUACCGUCGUAGUCUUAACCAUAAACUAUGACCGACUAGGGAUCGGAUGAUGUUAAUUUUUANGUACUUCAUUCGGCGCCUUA